rnacentral:rRNA from 1 species
UACGUAGGGGGCAAGCGUUGUUCGGAAUUACUGGGCGUAAAGGGCGCGUAGGCGGCACGGCAAGUCGGGAGUGAAAGCCCGGGGCUCAACCCCGGAGGGUCUCUCGAAACUGCCGAGCUAGAGUGCGGAAGAGGCAAUCGGAAUUCCCAGUGUAGCGGUGAAAUGCGUAGAUAUUGGGAAGAACACCGGUGGCGAAGGCGGCCUGCUGGGCAGUUUGGCUGACACUGAGGCGCGACAGCGUGGGGAGCAAACAGG